AAAUGUGUUCAGAACUAAAAUGAUGUACAGAGCUAUUAAUUAAUGUCAUCCAAUUAACUGAAUAACUAAUGUCAUACAUUACAACAAUCAAUCAAUCCAUAUAUCUUCACACCCAUCUCUAAUAUUUUCACUCCCAAACUCACCCACUAGGUCAUCAAAUGUGUCAACAUUUGGUAUCCCUCUAGUAAAUGACUAACAAUCAAUUCU
rnacentral:lncRNA from 1 species